rnacentral:lncRNA from 1 species
AAGCAACAAUUUUACGGAUCAAUUUUUGAAGGAAGACAAGGACCAACAAUGCGUGUAAGCCAGCGACCAGGAGUCAAAGGCACUGACUAUACUCUCCUUUUUUGGGACGCCAGGGAUCACUGCGCUGUUUUUUCGCUGCAGUCUAAAGGUACACAGGGAUAUGAGGUGCGCACAUGGAAUGAUCACAUUCGCCGAUAUGUACCUCGUUGUAGGGCAAUAUUUAAACUACAUACUUCACAAUUGUUUUCUCCUUUCACGCACAACUGCACACAUGAUUGAGAAAUCCUCUGCUAUAACCGUAGCAAAACAGCUGAAAAUAGAACUCAAGUUGAAAUAAAUAUCCACAUGGAACACACGGCUCCGAAUAAACUACAUUCUAC